GGUCCAUAGUUAAAAGGUAAAGUAUUUGCCUGGUGUGCGCAAGAGCCUGGGUUCAAUCCCCAGCAUCUCCA